GUCUACAGCCAUCCCACGCUGUGUGUACCUGAUCUCAUCUGAUCUCAGAAACUAAGCAGGGUUCAGCUUGGUUAGUAUGUGGAUGGAGGAGACCAAGGAGUCUAUUAGACA
rnacentral:rRNA from 1 species